rnacentral:rRNA from 1 species
AAAUGAAUUGACGGGGGCCCGCACAAGCGGCGGAGCAUGCGGAUUAAUUCGAUGCAACGCGAAGAACCUUACCAAGGCUUGACAUACACUUGACGCUGGUAGAGAUAUCAGUUCCGUAAGGCGGGUGUACAGGUGGUGCAUGGUUGUCGUCAGCUCGUGUCGUGAGAUGUUGGGUUAAGUCCCGCAACGAGCGCAACCCUUGUUUCGUGUUACCAGCGGGUUAUGCCGGGGACUCACGAGAGACUGCCGGGGUCAACUCGGAGGAAGGUGGGGAUGACGUCAAAUCAUCAUGCCCCUUAUGUCUUGGGCUUCACGCAUGCUACAAUGGCCGGUACAGAGGGUUGCGAUCCUGUGAGGGGGAGCGAAUCCCAAAAAGCCGGUCUCAGUUCGGAUUGGGGUCUGCAACUCGACCCCAUGAAGUCGGAGUCGCUAGUAAUCGCAGAUCAGCAACGCUGCGGUGAAUACGUUCUCGGGCCUUGCACACACCGCCCGU